rnacentral:rRNA from 1 species
AGUGAACGCUGGCGGUAGGCCUAACACAUGCAAGUCGGACGGCAGCACAGUAAGAGCUUGCUCUUACGGGUGGCGAGUGGCGGACGGGUGAGGAAUACAUCGGAAUCUACUUUUUCGUGGGGGAUAACGUAGGCAAACUUACGCUAAUACCGCAUACGACCUACGGGUGAAAGCAGGGGAUCUUCGGACCUUGCGCGAUCGAAUGAGCCGAUGUCGGAUUAGCUAGUUGGCGGGGUAAAGGCCCACCAAGGCGACGAUCCGUAGCUGGUCUGAGAGGAUGAUCAGCCACACUGGAACUGAGACACGGUCCAGACUCCUACGGGAGGCAGCAGUGGGGAAUAUUGGACAAUGGGCGCAAGCCUGAUCCAGCCAUACCGCGUGGGUGAAGAAGGCCUUCGGGUUGUAAAGCCCUUUUGUUGGGAAAGAAAAGCAGCAGGUUAAUACCCCGCUGUUCUGACGGUACCCAAAGAAUAAGCACCGGCUAACUUCGUG